CAAACAAGUGUUUAUGGCACUUUUAAACAAUCCAUAUCCACCUUGUGUGCAACGUUUGAAUUCGAUCCGCACGCUCGCUCUCCUUUAGUGCGAAAGCGUGUGUGGGGAAGGAUUCUCAACACUAUUAACUUAUCUUGAACUAUAGUUUGUCUUAAUUAACGUAUCAUGAAUUAACUUAAUUCGAAAUA
rnacentral:misc_RNA from 1 species